rnacentral:rRNA from 1 species
GCCAGCAGCCAUAUAACCCUGCAGCUCUCAAUGGGCUACCCACUGAAGGUAAGCAGCAUUGAGUCUGGUCAGUACCUGAAUGAGAGACCUCCUGGGAACCUAUGGUUGCUGCUGGAA